CAUGACAACAUGGAUGUAACCAGCAAUUUCCUUGGAGCCAUGUGGUUGAUCUCAAUAACUUUUCUAACCAUUGGAUAUGGGGAUAUGGUCCCCAAUACAUACUGUGGGAAAGGAGUCUGUCUCCUCACCGGCAUUAUGGGUGCAGGAUGCACUGCUUUGGUGGUCGCUGUGGUCGCAAAAAAACUGGAAUUAACCAAAGCCGAAAAACAUGUACAUAACUUUAUGAUGGACACCCAGCUGACAAAAAGGGU